rnacentral:rRNA from 1 species
CCUACGGGAGGCAGCAGUGAGGAAUAUUGGUCAAUGGGCGCGAGCCUGAACCAGCCAAGUAGCGUGAAGGAUGACUGCCCUACGGGUUGUAAACUUCUUUUAUAAAGGAAUAAAGUCAGGCACGCGUGCCUUUUUGUAUGUACUUUAUGAAUAAGGAUCGGCUAACUCCGUGCCAGCAGCCGCGGUAAUACGGAGGAUCCGAGCGUUAUCCGGAUUUAUUGGGUUUAAAGGGAGCGUAGAUGGGUUGUUAAGUCAGAUGUGAAAGUUUGCGGCUCAACCGUAAAAUUGCAAUUGAUACUGUCAGGCUUGAGUGCAGUUGAGGUAGGCGGAAUGCGUGGUGUAGCGGUGAAAUGCUUAGAGAUCACGAAGAACACCGAUUGCGAAGGCAGCCUACUAAGCUACCUCUGACAUUGAGGCUCGAAAGUGUGGGGAUCAAACAGGAUUAGAUACCCGAGUAGUC